rnacentral:rRNA from 1 species
UGGGGGAUAUUGCACAAUGGGCGAAAGCCUGAUGCAGCGACGCCGCGUGGGGGAUGAAGGCUUUCGGGUUGUAAACCUCUUUCGCUAUCGAACAAGGCCCGCUCAGGGGGGGUUGAGGGUAGGUGGAGAAGAAGCGCCGGCUAACUACGUGCCAGCAGCCGCGGUAAUACGUAGGGUGCGAGCGUUGUCCGGCACUAUUGGGCGUAAAGGGCUUGUAGGCGGCUUGUUGCGCCUGCUGUGAAGACGCGGGGCUUAACUUCGCGCGUGCAGUGGGUACGGGCAGGCUUGAGUGUGGUAGGGGUUACUGGAAGUCCAGGUGUAGCGGUGGAAUGCGCAGAUAUCUGGAGGAACACCGAUGGCGAAGGCAGGUCACUGGGCCAUUACUGACGCUGAGGAGCGAAAGCAGGGGUAGCGAACAGG